UCCUCAGGUUCACCGAUGUGAGAUCAGGGCGUGUACGUACUGAACAUGGCCUCCAGUUUGACGAGGCAGCAGGUGAAGUUGUCGAAGUCGAUGACCUCGUUGUCGGCGUAGCGAGCGACCAGCGUCUGGUGCAGCUUGUUGUUGAGUUUGAACCCUGAGGACGAAGACGUCGCAGCGCCAGACGCAUCUCGUAUGAGCUCAUACAUCCGGACUUAUCCAGGUCGAACUCUCUGAAGAUUCCCUGCAGAGUUCACAUCACAGACGAGCAGACGCUCACUGGUCUCAGAGAAUCUGAAACUCCAGCAGACCGAGCCGCGCGCUGCCGUCUUUCUGAGGUCAGGUCAAGGUCAAAACUUCAUUACAACACCAGAAGAAAGCAGAACAGUUCCACUGACAGAACCAGAAGAACCCAGACGUUCCUCAGACCCGCAGCAGCACGUGUAAAUGUGACCACAAAGGAGCAGAACUCACGCUUGGACACGACCCGGUUCAGGAUGGUCCUGAGCUCUCGCACGUCGAUCUCCAUGUCCUGAGGAGAGAAACACGUCGGUGACGUCGGAGUUCUCGGGUUUUUUAGAUUUGAACGUUGAAACGCUCGUAAGACUCACGUCUCCCGACAGCUGAGCGAACAUGGACCUGAAGGAGUCGUCGAUGUCGCUCUCUGUGAUUUCCUCCUGCAUCACGACACAAAGAACGGAUUUGCACAAACUGUACAUUCACACACACGAGGAAGCUGAAGACACAGAAACAAAAGACUUGAGAUCACCUCCUGCUCGAAGGUUCCCUCCACGUCGUCGUCCAUCUCCCUGCACACAUUCACACACGCUCACUGAAAACCGUACGACACAAUCUGGAUCAACAACGCUCUGGUCUCCGACCCCACAGACUCACUUGGUCUCCGACUGUUUCUCCGUGAACACCCUCAGCACGAAGUCGGCCUCCUGCGACGGUUCAAAGGUGGAGGGGACGACCAGGUACUCGCCCGGCGGGAGGCGGAGCCUGGUGCUCACCUCGCGCAGGUUGAUGAAGGACUCGGAGCGAGCGCAGGAGGAGUGACGCAGGAAGAAGUCCUUCUUCAGGUGGAGGCUGGGACGAGCUCGGUACUGACGGACAGACGGACGUUAGCUUCCACAAGCGAAGCGUAAAGGAAGGUGUUUGUGGUCAGACUGACUCACCUCGUCAGGAAUCUGUGAACGACACAAAACACAGAAGAGACGUCACGACAGUUCAGGUGGGUGACGGACGUCGGUGUCACUGGGUCAGUUCUUUAGUGCAGGAGAAGUCGCGCUGGUGUUAGCAACAAAGAUCGCCGCGACAUCAUGACAGGACACCUCCGCGAGCACUGACCUCGUAGAUAGCGAAGCCGAUGGUGUGCAUGUCCUGUCCGUGGCGGCGGAAGCGGCGGCGGUCCUUCUGCAUCAGAGCCACCAGGAGGCUGCAGGCGGCCUCGUCGUCCUCGGGGUCGUCGUCCUCCUCCAGCAGGGAGAUCUUAUACUGAGGGUUGAUCCAGAACGUGUCUGCAGGGAGCACAGCAGCCGCCAGAGGC